AUUGAACGCUGGCGGCAGGCCUAACACAUGCAAGUCGAACGGUAACAGGGAUCAGCUUGCUGAUUCGCUGACGAGUGGCGGACGGGUGAGUAAUGUCUGGGAAACUGCCUGAUGGAGGGGGAUAACUGCUGGAAACGGUAGCUAAUACCGCAUAACGUCGCAAGACCAAAGAGGGGGACCUUCGGGCCUCUUGCCAUCGGAUGUGCCCAGAUGGGAUUAGCUAGUAGGUGGGGUAACGGCUCACCUAGGCGACGAUCCCUAGCUGGUCUGAGAGGAUGACCAGCCACACUGGAACUGAGACACGGUCCAGACUCCUACGGGAGGCAGCAGUGGGGAAUAUUGCACAAUGGGCGCAAGCCUGAUGCAGCCAUGCCGCGUGUAUGAAGAAGGCCUUCGGGUUGUAAAGUACUUUCAGCGGGGAGGAAGGGAGUAAAGUUAAUACCUUUGCUCAUUGACGUUACCCGCAGAAGAAGCACCGGCUAACUCCGUG
rnacentral:rRNA from 1 species